ACCUCUAUAGUUUGUUCUAAAACUUAACCAAUAAUAAAAACCUUUUCAUUUACUAUGAUUAGUUAACAGCGCUCCUUAACCGUGGUUACUUCCUUCACCCUAAAUCUAAAAUCCUAACUCAAAGCAGCAAACCCUAAAUCCAAAAUCCUAACUCAAAACCCUAAAAUUCGUAUUCUCUAUAUUUCUUUGUUGGGAGCUUUGUUGAUCAGUCUUGGGCGGCAGCAGAAAGCCAUCGGCGUGACGGAGGAAGGUUUGCAGCUUGGUUUACAACUCAGUUUACGAAAAUGAGGGCCAAGUGGAAGAAGAAGCGCAUGAGGCGUUUGAAAAGAAAGAGGCGAAAGAUGAGACAGAGAUCUAAGUAAUUCAGGAUGUAGUUAGUGUAGUGCGUGGUCAUCGGAUGCAGAGGGAAUUUAUCGAUUAUGUAGUUAAGGAUGGCUGGUGCCUCUCACAGAGGGUCCUCGGGCUCUUUUAUCAGACCCUUGUCUGGUUAGCGGUCGAGUCACAGUGUCCAUUUUGCUGCAGAAGCAGAUCGGAUUGCUCUGUGCACCAAGAUGUCCUUAUAUUGUCGUUUAGUAGUUUUUAUGCUUAAGACAUAACUUUGAGAAUUUACGGCGAGCGUUUAAUUUUACUAUCGAUGACAUUUGAAUUUAAUUGAGACCUUUCAGAUUUUAUUCA